CUGUUUCUAACCACCUCAAGCCUAGGUGAAGGGGCUUCCAUGAGACCUCCUGGAAGGCUUGCAGCAUGUUCCCUGGAUCACGGGAGACUCCAUCGAUUGAUGUCUGGCUCACCCUGAGAAAUUUAAAGGGCGAGAGAUGGCGGCAGGCCAGUUGCGCCGAAGGUGGAGUGAGACGAGGUGAUCGCGUUGAGGGAGACUUGCUUUUCCCGAGUCUGUCAGGGCAAAGCAUGUGUGAGUUUCCCAUGGAGCAGAACUGGCCUGGGAGGUGCGGCGCCAGAUGCUAGGGGGUGAGGGAGAAGCAGUGGAGGAACGGUCAGAAGAGAUGCAUGCUCCCAGUCAGGCAAAGGCAGAUAAGAGGCGGUUGCUGCAAAUUACCCAUGAAGGAACCCAUGAGCCAGGCUCUCUGCUAAUGGAGAACAUGGUCCCUGGCAGCCCCAGACUACUGUGAUCCUAAAAGUCAACUGUUGCCAAGAAAGAAGAAUGUCUUUCCUGAUAAUUCUGACAAAAGUCCCAGGUUAAAUGAGAUGGCAUGUGG
rnacentral:lncRNA from 1 species